GGCAGCCCGCUGGAGGGGUCCUUAGGCGGGCGCUGAGGGAAGGAGGGGAACGAGGAGUUAAAGGAGGAGUUAAAGCGGGAAAUGGAGCGGGAAUUAAAAACUAUGAGGCAAAACCGCCCCUGAGCACGCCGUCCGUGGGCCUGGCCGCCCGGCACGGCGGCUGCGGGCGGCUGGUGAGGCUGAGGAGAUCCUCAGCCGUCACUCCGCACCGAGCCCUCAGAGCUGUCAGGGUGUCCCUGUUUGCAGAUGUGGAGAAGUUGGGUGUUCCCAGGUCCUGUUUGUCACCCUCCAGCUGAUGGCUCUGCCCUGCAGCCAUCACACACUCGUGUGGGUGAUGAGUGUUUUAUUUGCCUGCACGGUCCCUGCUGCCUUUAAUGAGGAGAUAACAUUAACGGUGGGAUGUCACUUGCUGCUCUCUGGGCUGCAGAGGGAGCAGAUGAGUUUUUUCCUGUAGGUGUCACCAAUAUCCCGUGCAGAAACAGCUUAAACUCCAGAGGAACGACAGAGUAUGGGAUGCUCAGAUCAGUUUUGUUACACGCUGAAUCUUCAGAAACAUUUGACAUCCCUUGAGGUUCAUUUCUCAGAAACCUUUUUGUAUUUUCCCUGAUUUGGAUCUGAAAAAAAUCCCUCUGGUUUCCUUAAUAACCAUUUGUGAAUUUCAGAGGAUUUUUGAGGCUGACUUUGCACCAGGACACUGGGAAAAUGUGUGUGAAGGCUGCGAGGAGCUGUGGGUGGUGAUUGAGUUGAGUGACGGCUGCUGGAGCGUGACUUGUCCCACUCAGCCUUAGAAAUACUGCACUGUGGUGGGACCAUCAAACCAUGGAAUGGUUUGGUUACAAGGGACCGUAAAGCUCAUCUCAUUCCACCCCCCUGCCAUGGGCAGGGACACCUUCCACUAGCUCAGGUUGCUCCAAGCCCCGUCCCACCUGGCCUGGAACAUUUCCAGGGAUCCAGAGGCAGCCACAGCUUCUCUGGGCAACCUGUGCCAGGGCCUCCCCACCCUCACAGGGAAGAAUUUCUCUCUAAUAUCUAAUCUAAAUCUACCCUCUUUUAUUUUAAAAAUGUUCCCCCUUGUCGUAGUAAUUGUCAGUCCUUAAUCCCAGUAAUCCAUGUGCAGACCUCUGCAAUUUCCUCACCCGGUGUGGGGGCAGCACCUGAUCCUGGUGCAGGCAGAUUUGGGGGAAAAUAGGUGUCUUUUCAAUUUAUUCUUUAUUUUGACCAAAGGUCAAAUAGCACAAUACCCUCUCAAAUGCCUCAUUUUAUAGAAAUCUUAUAGAAUCACAGGAUCAUAAAGGUUGAAAAAGCCCUCUAAGGUUACCGAGUCCAACUGCCAAGGCCAGCACUAACCCCUGUCCCCAGGUGCCACAUCUACACUUAAAAUCCCCUUAAAUUUACAUCCCAGCGGGGCUGGAGGCGUAUCCACUUGUGUGAGGGAUCAUCACUCCUUUGUCCCAGAAGGAGGACUCAUCCAGCUGGCAGUGCAUCCCAGAGGGUUGGAUUCAGGGAGUGCACGGUGGCCUCACGGAUCGAUGUCCGGCAAUGAGGCUCCAAGCAGAGGCAAUUCAGCUUCGUCUUUGCUAAUAAACUAAGUGCAUCCAGGAACUGAGUGUAUCCUGGGCCCUGUGGCCAACUGGCACAAAACACCCUCCUCCACACUUGUAAACUUGCCUUGCCUUGCCUUCCAGGAGAGGGUGGCUGGAUGCAAACUCCCCGCUGGGAGUUGUUCCUGGACUGGUCUGUGCACUGAACCCUGCCUAGGAAUUAUUUGGAAUUAUUUGGAGAGUGCAGGCUGGCACCCAGGUUUAGGCAGGGGAGCUUUCUAACAAUUUUCUCACAUGGAUGUACUUCCCAGUGCCUGGGCAUGCCUGGAUUUGCAGCAUGGAUGGAACCUUCAGGUAACAGAAUGUAUUUACAGGGACAAAUAAUGCAAGUGCUGCCUGCCAGCUCCCUCCCACUUGGAUAUGGACCUCUGGGAUUCUUCCAAAUACUCUGUAAGUGUGAUAAUGAACGGGAGUGUUUCUGGAUCUAUUCCUUUGUGCCAGUGGGACAAAGCACCUUCCAGGAAGCACUGGGUGGAUUGCAGGAUCAGACUCUGGGAAGUGUCUGACAGGGUGCCAAAGAGCUGCAGGUUUAUUUAACAGUUGCAGGGCAACGAGCUGGGAACCCAAAUGUUGGGUGACCUCCACCCAGGACCUCAGUGGAGCUCAGCUCCUCCCCAAAGCCUCUGAAGAAGCUUGUGAGACUUGCCCUGGUCUGUUGAGAUUUUGCUGCUUCCUUCUUGCUGGACUCAGGUCACUUGUUAUGAGAGAAAUAAGAUGGUUUAUUGUUCCUUGAGAUAACUUUCAAAUUUACUUUAAAAGAGGAAUUUAAAUACAAAUGAUGGUCAUAAUCAAAGCAGAGCCCUAGUUCUUGAAAACUAAACUGCAAAAUUAAGACAUACAUGAAGACAAGAUGAAAAUGUGGCAGAGGAAAAUGAGGUCCUGCUUGUGUUGGUUUCUUGUUCCAGAGUCACUGAGGAUUUUAUGCAAAGGGAACAGUUUGUCAGGGCUCUGCCUCAGGAGCAGAACCACAGCCCUGGGUUUCUGUCUCCUGUACACUCCCAGGUCACUGCUGAAAACCCUGGGCAGCCUGUUCCAGGGCUUGACAACCCUUCCCAUGAAGAUUUUUUUUCCCUAAUAUCCAAUAUAAACUUCCUCUGGUACAACUUGAGGCUGCUUCAUCUCAUCCUGUCACUUGUUACUGGGAGAAGAACCCGACCCCCACCUGGCUCCAACGUCCUCUCAGGGAGUUUUGGAGAGCAAUGAAGUGCUCCAGGUUUGAAGGCUGGAAAUCAGUGUGAGAUGAUUCCCACUGUGUUGUGUUUCAUGGCAGCUCAUUUCUGCUCUCAAGGUUUGAGUGUCUGGUCCAACUCUGCCACAGGGGCAGGAUGUGUGAGUGAUGCAGGGAGUGAGAUGAGCAGGUAGAGGCCUCUUUCGCCUUAAAAGCUGGGGGAAGAUUUGGAACAAAUAAUGCCAGUAAAGAUGUAAAUCUAAAAUAAACCCAGCCAGGCUAAGGAUUUCCUUGAGCAGGUCUUCAAAAAUAUUUGGAGAUAGAGGCUUCUGUGCUAACAGGGGAUUAAAGACAAAAAUAGUGGUGAAGGGAAAUCCCUAUGACUGAAAUUCAGUCCUUUCCUCUCUGUGACCACAAACCCAAAACCUUUCAAAGGCUCUUUAGUGAGCAUUGAAGCCACACAAGGUGGUGGGUUUGGAUGUCCCUAAUUUCAGGCAGGGGCUGUCCCAAGGUAAUGCCCUCACCACGUGAGGUUCAGACCACGUGGCUGUUACUGCAUCUGUGCAAGUGGAUGAUUUUCCAGCAGUUCAUCUGCAUGUUUUCUUCAUCUCUUUUGGCUACAAAUUAUUCCAGGUGACUCCUAACCAGUGUUUCUUGGGAAUGGGCACAUCCCUAGAAAAGACCUGUUGGAGUCCCCAUCCCUGGAGGUGUUCAAGAAACGACUGGACGUGGCACUCAGUGCUCUAGGCUGGGGGACAAGGUGGGGAUUGGUCACAGGGUGGACUCGAUGAUCAUGAAGGUCUUUUCCAACCUAAAUGAUUUUGGGAUUCUGUGGUUCUAGACCUGGGAUUCUAGUCAGGGAAAUCAUCCUUGACUAACUCCACUUGGCUCAUCUGAGCGUGGUCCCAGCCCCGACAGGUGAGUCCUCUGUGCCUGGCAUUUUGUAGCUGAAAAUCAGAGAUAAAAAUACUGUCUUUCUUCACAAAGUCAGUCCGGGGGAGGACACGAACAGCAGUGGUGGUAAAUGUUCAGAGGUUGCUGCUCUUCUGGGUGUCUUUCACUCAGAACCUCUCCCUCCUCUCCCCUCGUGCCCAUGGAGCUGUUUGUCUGGAGCCUUAAUGAGUUUCCCGUAUCUUUUCAAAAUGUAAAUUGUAACCAAUUUAGAAGUCAUUAGCGAAGAAGUCUGUCACUGCAGCCCUGCUUUAAUUUCACCUGUCCCUUCCCCUGUUUCCAUUAGACGCCAGUUAAUUAAAGCUCGAUUUGGUUCUCGGCGCCGUCAGCUCUGUUUGAAAUCAAUGUCCUUCCAAGUCUGGGACUCAGGUGACAGCACAGGAACAGCCACCAGGACCUGGGUGAUCGGGAUUUCCAGCACGAAUUAACCAAGAACUGUUCUCCUCUCUCCACAUACCACAGGCACAAAGGGAAAAUAAAACCAGGGAUGCCAAAAUGCAAUUUGGUUUCUUUUCAGGAUGCAGUUGUAGCCCAGCAAUACCUCCCUCAGGUUGGCCCAAGGGACUUGCAGCUGGAAAGCCAUUGCUGCUUGAGAAAUGACACAGACGGAGAGGUUUGAACCAGCCAACUCACAUGAAUAAGUGGAGGAGAGACCCCAUUUCAUCCUGGCAGUGCUUCUGGAAACAGGGCCAAUUCAUUAGCCAGAGAUCUCUGCAUCCCUCAGCAGAACAGCCUGUUCUCCCUGCCCUGUGAUCUCCUUCUGCUCUCCCACCAUCCUCAGAGGUUGGUACUUGGAGUGGGACAGCCUUGGAAAGCUGCAGCCUCAGUGCAGCUGAUUCUUACCCCGAUUUAUUUCUAUAUAUUUGUCUUUGCAAAAAAAAAAAAAAAAAAAAAGUUGUGUUUUGCAAACAUUUUUAUUUUUCACCUCUCCCAUCCACCUUCUUCCCCAUCCAUGGGAAACAUCCAAUCCUGGGGGAUUCAGGCAAAAAGAAGUGGAAGUAUCCUGGUGUGUUUUGCAGGUGUUUUGUGGAGGUUUU